GGCCUGCAGUCUUGGAGCCGCGCUGGGUUGGCGGUACCCGAGGGCACACCAGACUUGCAGGAAAAGCAAACCCCGGAGGAAGCUGAGGCAUGACUGCUCGAGAGCCAGCCUGCCAUGUGCAAUGUGAAAUUCCACUGUUGCCACGGCGAUAGUGACUGUCUGUGUCAUUAUCUAUCCACCAACAGUGAGAGAAGCUUUGCAGUCGAGAUAUUGUUUAACAGAUGGAGUGCUUUCUGUUGGACACUAAGUACUGCUACAAAG
rnacentral:snoRNA from 12 species